rnacentral:rRNA from 1 species
ACCUACAUGGCCCCAGGAUGGGACUGCGACCGAUCAGGUUGUUGGUGAGGUAAUGGCCCACCAAACCUAUAACCGGUACGGGCUCUGAGAGGAGGAGCCCGGAGAUGGACACUGAGACAAGGGUCCAGGUCCUAUGGGACGCAGCAGGCGCGGAACCUUCGCAAUAGGCGAAAGCCUGACGAGGUUAAUCCGAGUGUUUCCUGCUAAAGGAAUCUUUUGUCAGCUCUAAAAAUGCUGAUGAAUAAGGGGUGGGCAAGCCUGGUGUCAGCCGCCGCGGUAAUACCAGCACCCCGAGUGGUCGGGAUGAUUAUUUGGCCUAAAGCAUCCGUAGCCGGCCCCGUAAGUCUUCCGUUAAAUCCACCUGCUCAACAGUUGGGCUGCGGGAGAUACUGUGAGGCUAGGAGGCGGGAGAGGCGAGGGGUAUUCCUUGGGUAGGGGUAAAAUCCUCUGAUCCAUGGAGGACCACCAGUGGCGAAGGCGUCUCGCCAGAACGCGCUCGACGGUGAGGGAUGAAAGCUGGGGGAGCAAACCGGAUUAGAUACCCGGGUAGUCCCAGCUGUAAACGAUGUAGGCUCGU